GGUGGGGUUCCCGAGCGGCCAAAGGGAGCAGACUGUAAAUCUGCCGUCAUCGACUUCGAAGGUUCGAAUCCUUCCCA
rnacentral:tRNA from 1 species